rnacentral:rRNA from 1 species
UACGAAGGGUGCAAGCGUUACUCGGAAUUACUGGGCGUAAAGCGUGCGUAGGUGGUGCGUUAAGUCUGUCGUGAAAGCCCCGGGCUCAACCUGGGAAUGGCGAUGGAUACUGGCGCGCUAGAGUGCGGUAGAGGAGAGUGGAAUUCCCGGUGUAGCGGUGAAAUGCGCAGAUAUCGGGAAGAACACCCGUGGCGAAGGCGGCUCUCUGGGACGGUACUGACGCUGAGACGCGAAAGCGUGGGGAGCGAACAGG